CUAGGAUGCAAACUUUAAACGAAUCGUUAGUAAGAAACGAGGAAAAACUAACUGAUGCGGAGAGAAAAAUAAAAGAAAAAGAGCAGACAAUACAUUUCUUAGAGGAUGAGUUGAAGCAAAUCAAAAGUGAUCUUAAAAGAACCAAUGAAGAAUUGAGAAAAAUAAAGCAGGAGAGAAAUAAUGAACAAAUGCGUACAAAAGAGAAGACCCUGGAAAUGUCCAGAGAAAAAGUCAAAGUAGAACAGCAACAGCGGGAAUGGGAAUCAGCUUUGUCAAGUAAA